CACGUAGGGGACGAGCGUUGUCCGGAUUCAUUGGGCGUAAAGCGCGCGUAGGCGGCUCGGAAAGUCGGUCGUGAAAUGCCGGGGCUCAACCCCGGGACUGCGUCCGAUACUCCCGAGCUGGAGGCAGGUAGGGGAGAUCGGAAUUCCUGGUGGUAGCGGUGAAAUGCGCAGAUAUCAAGGAGGAACACCGGUGGCGAAGGCGGA
rnacentral:rRNA from 1 species